rnacentral:tRNA from 1 species
GCGGUUGUGGCGGAAUGGCAGACGCGCUAGGUUGAGGGCCUAGUGGGGUAAAACCCGUGGAGGUUCGACUCCUCUCAACCGCACCA